AACGGCGAGUGAAGCGGGAUGAGCUCAAAUUUAAAAUCUGGCGGUCUCAGAUCGUCCGAGUUGUAGUCUAGAGAAGCGUUUUCCGUGCUGGCCUGUGUACAAGUCCGUUGGAACACGGCGUCAUAGAGGGUGAGAAUCCCGUCCUUGACACAGAUCUCCAGUGCUUUGUGAUGCGCUCUCAAAGAGUCGAGUUGUUUGGGAAUGCAGCUCAAAAUGGGUGGUAAAUUCCAUCUAAAGCUAAAUAUUGGCGAGAAACCGAUAGCGAACAAGUACCGUGAGGGAAAGAUGAAAAGCACUUUGGAAAGAGAGUUAAACAGUACGUGAAAUUGUUGAAAGGGAAACGAUUGAAGUCAGUCAUGCUUUCCGAGACUCAGCCGGUUCUGCCGGUGUACUUCUCGGUUUGCAGGCCAGCAUCAGUUUUGGGCGGUGGAAAAGGUUGGCGGGAAUGUGGCAUCCUCGGAUGUGUUAUAGCCCGCUUUCGAAUACAUCGCCCGGGACUGAGGAACGCAGCACGCCUCUUGUAGGUCGGUCUUCGGACACGUCCGUGCUUAGGAUGCUGGCAUAAUGGCUUUAAACGA
rnacentral:rRNA from 1 species